rnacentral:rRNA from 1 species
GACGAACGCUGGCGGCGUGCUUAAUACAUGCAAGUCGAACGGAAAGGCCCUGCUUUUGUGGGGUGCUCGAGUGGCGAACGGGUGAGUAACACGUGAGUAACCUGCCCUUGACUUUGGGAUAACUUCAGGAAACUGGGGCUAAUACCGGAUAGGAGCUCCUGCUGCAUGGUGGGGGUUGGAAAGUUUCGGCGGUUGGGGAUGGACUCGCGGCUUAUCAGCUUGUUGGUGGGGUAGUGGCUUACCAAGGCUUUGACGGGUAGCCGGCCUGAGAGGGUGACCGGCCACAUUGGGACUGAGAUACGGCCCAGACUCCUACGGGAGGCAGCAGUGGGGAAUAUUGCACAAUGGGCGGAAGCCUGGUGCAGCAACGCCGCGUGCGGGAUGACGGCCUUCGGGUUGUAAACCGCUUUCGCCUGUGACGAAGCGUGAGUGACGGUAAUGGGUAAAGAAGCACCGGCUAACUACGUG